rnacentral:rRNA from 1 species
UACAGAGGGGGCAAGCGUUAUUCGGAAUUAUUGGGCGUAAAGGGCGCGUAGGCGGCUAUUCAAGUGGCGGGUGAAAUCCCUCGGCUUAACCGAGGAACUGCCUGCCAGACUGGAUGGCUUGAGACCGGGAGAGGUGAGUGGAAUUCCCAGUGUAGCGGUGAAAUGCGUAGAUAUUGGGAGGAACACCAGUGGCGAAGGCGGCUCACUGGACCGGUACUGACGCUGAGGCGCGAAAGCGUGGGGAGCAAACGGG